rnacentral:tRNA from 1 species
GGACUGUAGCCGACCAUGCCGGUACGUCAAAGGAUACGUAAAGUACACACGCAGAAAUUUAUAAGGAUAUAAUUCUUUAAUUUCAAUACUUUAAACAAUUUUGGAUGCGGGUUCAACUCCCGCCAGCUCCACCA